rnacentral:rRNA from 1 species
GUGCUUAACACAUGCAAGUCGAACGAGGUCCAUUCUGUAGCAAUACAGAGGAAGACCUAGUGGCGAACGGGUGAGAAACACGUGAGAAACCUGCCCCAGACUCUGGGAUAACAGUUGGAAACGACUGCUAAUACCGGAUGUCAUCAGAGAGUCGCAUGGCUCACUGAUGAAAGUUUUUCGGUCUGGGAGGGUCUCGCGGCCUAUCAGCUUGUUGGCGGGGUAACGGCCCACCAAGGCAUCGACGGGUAGCUGGUCUGAGAGGAUGAUCAGCCACACUGGGACUGAGACACGGCCCAGACUCCUACGGGAGGCAGCAGUGGGGAAUCUUGCGCAAUGGGCGAAAGCCUGACGCAGCAACGCCGCGUGCGGGAAGAAGGCCUUCGGGUCGUAAACCGCUUUCAGCAGGAACGAAAAUGACGGUACCUGCAGAAGAAGGUGCGGCCAACUACGUGCCAGCAGCCGCGGUGACACGUAGGCACCAAGCGUUGUCCGGAUUUAUUGGGCGUAAAGAGCUCGUAGGCGGUUCAGCAAGUCGGGUGUGAAAACUCUGGGCUUAACCCAGAGCCUGCACUCGAAACUGCUGUGACUAGAGUUCGGUAGGGGAGCGGGGAAUUCCUGGUGUAGCGGUGAAAUGCGCAGAUAUCAGGAGGAACACCGGUGGCGAAGGCGCCGCUCUGGGCCGACACUGACGCUGAGGAGCGAAAGCAUGGGUAGCAAACAGGAUUAGAUACCCUGGUAGUCCAUGCCGUAAACGGUGGGCACUAGGUGUGGGUUUCAACCAAUGAGAUCCGCGCCGU